rnacentral:rRNA from 1 species
GACGAACGCUGGCGGCGUGCCUAAUACAUGCAAGUCGAACGAGAGCGACCGGUUCUUGCUCUGGUCAAUCUAGCGGCGAACGGGUGAGUAAAACGUGGGUAACCUGCCCAUCAGAGGGGGAUAACAUUCGGAAACGGAUGCUAAAACCGCAUAGGUCUUCGAACCGCAUGGUUUUAAGAGGAAUAGAGGCGCAAGCUUCUGCUGAGGGAUUGACCCGCGGUGCAUUAGCUAGUUGGUGAGGUAACGGCUCAGCAAGGCCGCGAUGCAUAGCCGACCUGAGAGGGUGAUCGGCCACAUUGGAACGGAGACACGGCCCAAACUCCUACGGGAGGCAGCAGUAGGGAAUGUUCGGCAAUGGACGAAAGUCUGACGGAGCAACGCCGCGUGAGUGAAGAAGGUUUUCGGAUCGUAAAACUCUGUUGUUAGGGAAGAAUAGGUGCUGGAGUAAAUGUUGGGGGCUUGACGGUACCUAACCAGGAAGCCACGGCUAACUACGUG